rnacentral:rRNA from 1 species
UAAAAUAAUUAAGGGCACACAAAGGAUGCCUAGGUAGUAAGAGCCGAUGAAGGACGUGGUAAGCUGCGAUAAGCCUAGAUAAGUUGCAAUCGAACGUAAGAGUCUAGGAUUUCCGAAUGGAGCAAUCUAUUAAGAUGGAGUCUUAAUACGAAAGAGGGAACCGCGUGAACUGAAACAUCUAAGUAACGCGAGGAAAAGAAAGUAAAAACGAUACCCAAAGUAGCGGCGAGCGAACUGGGUCAAGCCUAAACCUUAAAUAUGUCAAGGAUACAGCCGUUGUAUUUAAGGGGUUGAGGGACAAAGUAGUGAAGAACUGUAAGAUAUUCAAUAUAGUGUAUUGAUGAAUUAGAAUUGUAUGGAAAGAUAAACCGCAGAAGGUGAGAGUCCUGUAUAAGUAAAUCCUUACACAUAUAACUUUGCUCCCAAGUAACAUGGAACACGAGGAAUUCUGUGUGAAUCAGUGAGGACCAUAUCUCAUAAGGCUAAAUACUCUUACUAACCGAUAGCGCAUAGUACCGUGAGGGAAAGGUGAAAAGAACCCCUGGAGGGGAGUGAAAUAGAACCUGAAAUUGUGUGCUUACAAGCGGUCAGAGCCCAUUUGGGUGAUGGCGUGCCUUUUGGAGAAUGAUCCUGCGAGUUACGUUAAACGGCGAGGUUAAGUAUAACGGAGCCGAAGGGAAACCAAGUCUUAAUAGGGCGAUAUAGUCGUUUGGCGUAGACGCGAAACCUGGUGAUCUAAACCUGUCCAGGAUGAAGCUGUGGUAAGACACAGUGGAGGUCCUAACCCACCGCCGUUGAAAAGUUGGGGGAUGAGGUAGGUUUAGGGGUGAAAAGCCAAUCGAACCAGGAGAUAGCUCGUUCUCUCCGAAAUGCAUCUAGGUGCAGCCUUGAGUGUUCAAUUAUGGGGGUAGAGCACUGAAUGAUCUAGGGGGCAUAUUGCUUACUGAAAUCAAUCAAACUCCGAAUACCAUAAUUUAUAGCUCAGGAGUGAGACUAUGGGAGUUAACUUCCAUUGUCAAAAGGGAAACAACCCAGACCACCAGCUAAGGUCCCUAAUUAUAACUAAGUGGGAAAGGAGGUGGAGAUUCACAAACAACUAGGAGGUUGGCUUAGAAGCAGCCAUACCUUUAAAGAGUGCGUAAUAGCUCACUAGUCGAGAGUCUCUGCGCCGACAAUGUAACGGGGCUAAGUUAUAAACCGAAGCUGUGGAAUCCUUAUGGAUUGGUAGGAGAGCGUUCUGUAGGCCGUUGAAGAAGAAGGGUAACCAACUUUGGAGGUAUCAGAAGUGAGAAUGCAGGAAUAAGUAGCGAGAAAGGGGGCGAGAAUCCCCCUCGCCGGAAGACCAAGGUUUUCAGGGUAAAGCUUGUCUUCCCUGAGUAAGCCGGGACCUAAGCCCAGGCUAUAAUGCGUAGGCGAAUGGAAAACAGAUUAAUAUUUCUGUGCCAGUCAUUUAUUGUGAUGGAGGGACGCAGAAGGGUAUGCGCGCGGACGAUCGGUUGUGUCCGUAGAAGUAUGUAGGAUGACUUAGUAGGUAAAUCCAUUAAGUUAUAUCUGAGGUAUGAUAUACAGUCGUAAGAUGAAUGUGCAAAUCCCACGCUGCCAAGAAAAGCUUCUAACGUUAAUAUAUGACUGCCCGUACUGUAAACCGACACAGGUGGUCAGGAUGAGAAAUCUAAGGCGGACAGGCUAACUCUCGUUAAGGAACUCUGCAAAAUAACCUCGUAACUUCGGGAGAAGAGGAGCCCUUGUGUGUGAGUAUACAUGCGAUACAAAGCGCACGAGGGUCGCAGUGAAGAGGCUCAAGCAACUGUUUAACAAAAACACAGGUCUAUGCUAAGCUGUAAGGCGAUGUAUAUGGGCUGACACCUGCCCAGUGCUGGAAGGUUAAGAGGAGGAGUGAGAGCUCCGAAUUGAAGCCCCAGUGAACGGCGGCCGUAACUAUAACGGUCCUAAGGUAGCGAAAUUCCUUGUC